CUAGUACGGCGAGUGAGCGGGAUGAGCUCAAAUUUAAAAUCUGGCAGCCUAAGGUUGUCCGAGUUGUAGUCUAGAGAAGCGUUUUCCGCGUAGGCCUGUGUACAAGUCCCUUGGAAUAGGGCGUCAUAGAGGGUGAGAAUCCCGUCCUUGACACAGAUCAUCUAUGCUUUGCGAUGCGCUCUCGAAGAGUCGAGUUGUUUGGGAAUGCAGCUCAAAAUGGGUGGUAAAUUCCAUCUAAAGCUAAAUACUGGCGAGAGACCGAUAGCGAACAAGUACCGUGAGGGAAAGAUGAAAAGCACUUUGGAAAGAGAGUUAAACAGUACGUGAAAUUGUUGAAAGGGAAACGAUUGAAGUCAGUCAUGUGGUUCGAGAUUCAGCCGGUUCUGCCGGUGUAUUUCUCGAGCUACAGGCCAGCAUCAGUUUCGACCGGUGGAAAAAGUUGGAGGGAACGUGGCAUCCUCGGAUGUGUUAUAGCCCUCUUUCACAUGCAUCGGACGGGACUGAGGAACGCAGCGUGCCUUUAUGGUCGGUCUUCGGACACGAACGCGCUUAGGAUGCUGGCAUAAUGGCUUUAAACGACACG
rnacentral:rRNA from 1 species